UUUAAAUUCUUAUAUAGCUGUGAUAAAUCUGGAUCACUCUCAUUUUCUUAUUCUUACUUUUUUCCAUUGAACGACCCUGUUAGAGUCCCCCACAAUAUAUAAUUGUAGGUAUGAAAUACAAUUUUCAGUAAUGAACGACUCAACUCGUAAAAAUUUUUCCUAUUUCUUUUCUAGAAAUAACUUCACUGCAUUUCUUGGUGUCAAAACAGGUUAAGAUAGAGAAUCUAUUCUCUUAAAAAAAAAAAAAAAAAUGAUCUUGGAGAUUGUGUAAUGCUUACU